AGAGUUUGAUCCUGGCUCAGGACGAACGCUGGCGGCGUGCCUAACACAUGCAAGUCGAGCGGGGACACUUGAAAAGGUGUUCUAGCGGCGGACGGGUGAGUAACGCGUGAGCAAUCUAACUUUAACAGUGGAAUAACAGCUCGAAAGAGAUGCUAAUACCGCAUAAGACCACGACAUCACAUGGUGUUGAGGUCAAAGGAGGAAUCCGGUGAAAGAAGAGCUCGCGUCCCAUUAGAUAGUUGGCGGUGUAACGGACCACCAAGUCGACGAUGGGUAGCCGGCCUGAGAGGGCGAACGGCCACACUGGGACUGAGACACGGCCCAGACUCCUACGGGAGGCAGCAGUGGGGAAUAUUGGACAAUGGGCGAAAGCCUGAUCCAGCAACGCCGCGUGAGGGAAGAAGGUUCUCGGAUUGUAAACCUCUGUCCCAUGGGAAGAAGGAAGUGACGGUACCAUGGGAGGAAGCCCCGGCUAACUACGUGCCAGCAGCCGCGGUAAUACGUAAGGGGCGAGCGUUGUCCGGAAUGACUGGGCGUAAAGGGCGCUUAGGUGGCUGAUCAAGUCUC
rnacentral:rRNA from 1 species